GACGAACGCUGGCGGCGUGCUUAACACAUGCAAGUCGAACGGAAAGGCCCUGCUUUUGUGGGGUGCUCGAGUGGCGAACGGGUGAGUAACACGUGAGUAACCUGCCCUUGACUUUGGGAUAACUUCAGGAAACUGGGGCUAAUACCGGAUAGGAGCUCCUGCUGCAUGGUGGGGGUUGGAAAGUUUCGGCGGUUGGGGAUGGACUCGCGGCUUAUCAGCUUGUUGGUGGGGUAGUGGCUUACCAAGGCUUUGACGGGUAGCCGGCCUGAGAGGGUGACCGGCCACAUUGGGACUGAGAUGCAGCCCAGACUCCGACAGGAGGCAGCAGUGGGGAAUAUUGCACAAUGGGCGGAAGCCUGAUGCAGCAACGCCGCGUGCGGGAUGACGGCCUUCGGGUUGGAAACCGCUUUCGCCUGUGACGAAGCGUGAGUGACGGUAAUGGGUAAAAAAGCACCGGCUAACUACGUG
rnacentral:rRNA from 1 species